rnacentral:rRNA from 1 species
AACGAACGCUGGCGGCAGGCCUAACACAUGCAAGUCGAACGCACCGCAAGGUGAGUGGCGCACGGGUGAGUAACACGUGGGAACGUACCCUUCAGUUCGGAAUAACGCCGGGAAACUGGCGCUAAUACCGGAUACGCCCUUAGGGGGAAAGAUUUAUCGCUGAAGGAGCGGCCCGCGUCUGAUUAGCUAGUUGGUGGGGUAACGGCCUACCAAGGCGACGAUCAGUAGCUGGUCUGAGAGGAUGAUCAGCCACACUGGGACUGAGACACGGCCCAGACUCCUACGGGAGGCAGCAGUGGGGAAUAUUGGACAAUGGGCGAAAGCCUGAUCCAGCCAUGCCGCGUGAGUGAUGAAGGCCUUCGGGUUGUAAAGCUCUUUCGCACGCGACGAUGAUGACGGUAGCGUGAGAAGAAGCCCCGGCUAACUUCGUGCCAGCCGCCGCAGUAAAAC